UACGUAGGGUGCAAGCGUUGUCCGGAUUUAUUGGGCGUAAAGAGCUCGUAGGCGGUUUGUCGCGUCGGCUGUGAAAACCCGAGGCUCAACCUCGGGCCUGCAGCCGAUACGGGCAGACUAGAGUUCGGCAGGGGAGACUGGAAUUCCUGGUGUAGCGGUGAAAUGCGCAGAUAUCAGGAGGAACACCGGUGGCGAAGGCGGGUCUCUGGGCCGAUACUGACGCUGAGGAGCGAAAGCGUGGGGAGCGAACAGG
rnacentral:rRNA from 1 species